AGAUGACGAAAAAUAGCCAUGCAGACAAUUCGCAUGAGGUCAUUACCGGAAGAAAGAAGCUGAAGGUACCUGUCAAGCAGCUUCCGGCCCUUGGGAAGAGAAGCUAAUCGUAAGAACACAAGAUCAUCUUUUGGAGCAAGUCCCACAGUAUGUCCAUUCUUUCCGAGUGGGUCAACCAAUUGCAGGGAUGCCGCAAGCCCUUCCAACAAGGCCUGCCUCCUGCGUCUCAAUUGGACUCCUCCAUCUUGAAGUUGAUUAAAUUCUAGAAAACGGUCAAUAUCAUCUACAUCCAGGAGGAGGCAAAGACCAUCUUCAAUUGUCACUCUAGCUGCAAGCAUUGGCUCCUGUUCUAGGGGUUUCUCAGAAACUUUCUGAUCAGUUCCACCACUAAUAGAUGAGUUUGGAGGGUCAACCUCAAGAAGUGGACGAGGUCUGCGAAUUGAAGAAAAGGGCGUCCUUCCAAGCGCAUCAACCUGGAGAAAAGCAUGAGGCUCUGUGUUAGCCCGUGCUCGAGGGGGAAGAUCCCUCAAGUGAGUCGGGCAGAAAUGAUGCUUGAGUUUUGCCCCAGCUGACUUUUUUGCAAGACAAGCCUGGUGAUAGUAAUCAUCCACAUAUGGGUCAUUACUGUGUGUCGCAGCAAGCUGCAUUCUGAGAAUACUCUCAAUUUCAUCAGAUGACAUGUACUUGGAUCUGAACUGAGACCAGACACUGUCAAUCUUCUGGCCAUUAGUAUCAAAUCCCUGUUGAGAAUAACGCAAAUUUUGUCUACCUUUCUGAGCUGAUUUUGGUCUCUGAUCUCUAAUAUCACCCAGAAGCACUGCUUCAAACUUGCUCAUCAUGGGUGCAGAUGAAGAAAGAUGAGGUGUAAAUAUUUGAGACUGCAUUCCAGAUAAGUGGCCUAAUGAUGGCUGAAUUGGAUGAUGCAGUCUAUGCUGCUGUGGCUGCAUUUGUGGCAUCAACUGUGGAGGCAUUAAACCAUUUUGAUGAGAUAGUUGUUGCUGCAACAAACGGUUGGGAUGAUCUCCCGGAUACAAACCUGUAUGGUUAACCCAUUGGUUAGGUAGCCGGCUAUUUGCAGAUGGACCAGAAGAAAACUGUGACAAAUUUCCACCAAAAUGUGGUGACCCAUGAUGUAAGCCUGUCAACUGAAGCUGAGGACUAGAAAAGGGGGAGAGGUUUGGUAAAGAAAUUGCCAUUUGGGGACCACCACCAAGAUAUGGAAUAUUUAGAUGACUAUGAUUCGGCGAAGCCUGUGGAGAUUGUCCACCAGGGGGAGGGUACGAAGUGUAAGAAGACUUAGCCACAAGAAUUGGCUCACUGGAGAAGUGUUGAUGGUGCUGUUGCUGCUGCUCAGGGUAUGAAGAUGUUCUGUACAAAGGCUUUAAUUCCAAAAGGCGAGCAGAAGAAGCAUAAGGCUGCGAGGACCAUCUUUUUCCGUCCUGGAUACCUUCAGGAUCAAGUAGCUGCUGUUGAUCCAACCAGUUGGGAAAAUCCUCCCCCUGGGCCCAUUCAGCAGCAGAUGAACUUUCUCUGGAUCCCCUAUCACCAAUUACUCCUGCUCCCCUUGGUCCACUGACAACCUUGUUCAACUUUGAAAAUGUAC
rnacentral:misc_RNA from 1 species